GAUGAACGCUAGCGGCAGGCUUAACACAUGCAAGUCGAGGGGUAUAGUUCUUCGGAACUAGAGACCGGCGCACGGGUGCGUAACGCGUAUGCAGUCCACCUUUUACAGGGGGAUAGCCCAGAGAAAUUUGGAUUAAUACCCCAUAGUAUGUUAGAGUGGCAUCAUUUUAACAUUAAAGUUCCAACGGUAAAAGAUGAGCAUGCGUCCCAUUAGCUAGAUGGUAAGGUAACGGCUUACCAUGGCGACGAUGGGUAGGGGUCCUGAGAGGGAGAUCCCCCACACUGGUACUGAGACACGGACCAGACUCCUACGGGAGGCAGCAGUGAGGAAUAUUGGACAAUGGGCGCAAGCCUGAUCCAGCCAUGCCGCGUGCAGGAAGACGGUCCUAUGGAUUGUAAACUGCUUUUGUACAGGAAGAAACACUCCCUCGUGAGGGAGCUUGACGGUACUGUAAGAAUAAGGAUCGGCUAACUCCGUGCCAGCCGCCGCCGUAAGAC
rnacentral:rRNA from 1 species